GCAAGUAGGGUUGCCCAAGGACACAAGUGCCUUGCCCAAGGACACAAGGUAAUUUGGCCCUCAUGUUCUAUGUGGUGAGUUUGUCUUGUGAAAAGCAUAAGUUUCAAAUGACUACCACAACCUAAAGUCAACCCAGGCAUGCAUGCAUGAUGUCUUUGAUACUUGAAGUACAGUAGACCAACAUAAUUAGUGUGGUUAAAUGUAUAAUAGAUGUUUCCUGGAAUUAAAAUGGUUUGUGAAUGUUUUUCUUUUAUCUUUAGUUUCGUUAAAAGCCAAAGCUGAUUUUAUCCAUUGCAUAUUUAUACAUACUUUAAGGCUAUAUAGCUGCAUGGAUGUUUUACACAAAUAAACAAUCACAGGUAACAGACGGCUGCCUUGGAAACAGGGGUGACACCUGACACAAAAAAAACACCCUCUUCCCACCAAAACUAUUGAGUACACUUAUUUCACCUAAAUCAUAUCAUGCAUCAUCAGUAAAACUUAAAGUGAAAAAUAACUCAUUUGCACAAAAUGUCAGUGGGCAUCAUCACCAGGUCUGUGACAUAAGUGAACAUUAGGAAUGAAUGAGAUCCUGAUUGCCCUGACAGGGAACCCCCUUCAGAUGGAAAACAUCUCUUCCCACAGCACCAGAUUCUUACUCUUUCCACCAAACAACCUUCAACCUGGUUUUCGCAUCUCACCUCCAGUUACGCCAAUGUCUGAGCGGUUUGGGGUUUUAGAUGAUUUUUACAUUGUAGAUAAUGUGACAUUGAGCUAAUCUAUGAGUUUAUAUCAUUUUACACUAAAACUGUACAACAUCAUAAUCACAACAAAAUCAUUAAGGUGCCUUGAAGUAGGGUGAUGCCGUGCAGCCAACUCGACUCAGAGGUCACUGCUGAAGUCAAACACUAGAAAGCUCUACACUUCGCUAGUGGCUUCGAUUUUGUGAAGUUAAAGUCCACAAAUGUCAAUGCACUGUUCACACCACAUUUAAACAGAUGUGUUAAGACGUGGAUCCAAAAAUACCCAAAGAUAAACCAGCCUCACUGUCGCAGGGUCACAUUACGUUACAACCCGGAGUGAGAACGUUUCUCAAGCGAAGAAAGCCGUGUUUGCGGUUUGUUUCCUAUGUGACGGGGGUCAGUCUAAUGCCAAGCAGGUGACACGUUGUGAGGCUCGUCCGAUUGGGUUGUGGGUCCUGGUUUAUUUCUGGGCAUGGAAUUGAAAUUCUUGCUUUAUAUGUUAAUGUUUCAGAGAAGCCCCUAAUCUGUGCACGGUGUCUGGAGGACCACAGGAAGUAGGAGGAGGGUUGUGGGUCCUGGUUUAUUUCUGGGCAUGGAAUUGAAAUUCUUGCUUUAUAUGUUAAUGUUUCAGAGAAGCCCCUAAUCUGUGCACGGUGUCUGGAGGACCACAGGAAGUAGGAGGAAGGAAACAACUACGGAUCUGGUCACAAGAAGUUAAACACUUACAGGAAACAGGUCUAGACCUAAAGUUGUGCAAGGUUUGGUCCUGGGAUUCUGACCCUAGGUGGAAAGAUGCCCAAUAAAAAAAGAUAUUCACCCUUGCCUCAUGAAUGUGCUACGAUGGCCAUACAACACAAACAUCAAGUAACAACUCAAGAUUUUAAGUCCUCGGUUAAAUUUGAGUUUGUUCUCUCUUUAGUGUUCUAUGCCUCAGUUGUCUAGGCUUAACAGGUAAAGAAUUAAAUUAAAGCCCUUUAAUAUUUAUGAGCAGUGUGCAAGUCGUGUGAAGGGAUUUCACCCUUGUUAAACACUGAAAGAAAAAAAAUCCCAAGAGUCAUCAAAAGGAAAAAAGUAUCAUUUGCCCACACAUGAGGACAUGAGCAUGCUGUAUAAAAAGAGGGCUAACUUCUUCACUCACAACCAGCCACCCCUGUCCUUACAGACUCAUUAUCUCCAGCCCUGUACAUCUAAAAGGAUACCGCUUUGAAAACCUCCAGACAACCAUGGAUCACAUCUUUAGGAUUGCCUUUUGCAUGCUCUCCAUCUCUUAUCUUCAAGGAAAACCAACUCCAUCUACAAAUAUCCCUACCUUUGAUUUUGACACGGCCGUAAUCAAAGAUAUUCUAGGGGUCACUAAGAAACUACUGAAAACCGACAUGACCUGUGUAAGUUACUAUAGAAUCAUUAUUGGUGAAAUAGAUGGAAUGCUUGACUUGGGCUCUUACUUAAACCUUUCUUCCAAUGCAGGACAAGAAUUUAACCUUCUACACAGCAGAUUUUACAAAGGUAUGACCUAUCUGAUUCUAUUAAAUCAUGGUGUUUAACUUCUCAAACAGUCUUGAUUAUGUGAAGCAUAAACAAAUGCCUAAUGUAGUCUAAGACAUCCGCUCAGUUACAAUAUUGGACCAGUGUUGCAGGAUCCUCAGCACAGCUGCUGAGAUGAGGGUUUCAACACACUUCCCCCCUCAGCCCACAAUCCUCUCCACAGCGUCAGUCAGUCCAAAGCCUAACGUGUCUUUCUCUUUCAGGAAUGCAUGGUGGCCGCACUGAACUGCAGCCUUUCAGAGCUGCUGGUCGUGGAGAGUAAAUGCCCCGUAUUGGACGUAGAAGAUAUCAUCGUCAGCUUGGAAUAUUUGCUAGAAUCAACAGAGAACUCAAGAGGAACUGAAUUCUCUUCAGAAUGCAAGUGUGAGAAUCAGAAAUCAGAACAGCUAAAAGAGUUCAUCACAAACCUGCAGACUGGACUGCAGUGGAUCCAGAGCCAAUAGUUAGCAACUAAGGAUCAAGAGAUUGUUAUACAAAGAUUGUAAAGCAGUGUGUGAUAAAACAAGUACAGUUUCAGCUGCUUUCUAAUGAUACUACUAUUCUAAGUUGUGACACUUCUACCAUGUCUGUACUGUACAUUUCUGAGAGGCUGCCGAACAAGCCUUCAGACAACUGGAUCUACAUUUCAAAGUUCUCAGCAUAUGUUAUGAGUGUUAAUGUAUUUAACAGUUAUUUAUUUAUCUAUCUAUUUAUUAAGUAUUUAUUACAUUGAUCGAUAAUAAAACCUUAUUACCAAGA